CUGGUCAUGGCAUUAGUAUCGGAAGCUUGGGGAAGAAUGGAGCCUACGAGACCGUGGAAGAUAUCCGUGUUACGGACUCCACGUUCACUCGAACUCAGAACUGUGCUAGAAUCAAGACCUGGAAGGUAAAAAUAUAACUUGCUAAUGAUUGUUUACCAUCUAUGAUCUAUGCCAUUUUGCCAAAUCUUCAUUACAGGGAGGAAAAGGGUAUGUGAGGAAGGUCACCUUUGAGAGGAUCACACUCGUUGAGGCACGAAACCCAAUCAUCAUCGACCAGAACUAUAUGAGUCGUCAUUAUGUUCCUGCAGAACCCUCAUCAGAUGUUGACAUCAGUGACGUUCUG
rnacentral:lncRNA from 1 species